CUUGGCUGACUGCAACCUUUGCCUCCUGGCAGAACUCUUCAGCCUGAAAAAGCGAUGGUUGGGUAGGACAUUGGGAUAAGGGUAUGUCAGAGGCAGAAUAUGCUUAAAACUUGCAAAAUCAAGAAGACUGCUAAUCAGGAUCCAGUCCAAGAAUAAGUAAAUGGCAUCCUUCCAGUGGAGAGCUGACAGCUGGGAUUGAAACAAGAUCCAGAAUUCACCCUGCUGUUUCUCCAUGAGUCUGACCUGCAUCAACUGCCUCCCUUAUUCUGGGAUUCCAGUUGUGGAGCUCAAGGACAAGUCCAUUCUGGGCUGGCUGUAUCCAACUUCUUUAGUCCAACUAUAUCCCCACUGGAAGCCAGGCUCUUUCCAACAGCUGUCACCCAUGCCUCUUUCUAUGUUUGUUAUCUGUCUCUAGGUUCUGGUAACUACUUCCUUCCCUUGCCCCUUCUGGCCUAGGGUGCUACCAAUCCCUCCUCCAAAUCCAACUGUCACUAGCCUCAAAGUACUUGUAGCUUCCUCACCUUACUUUCACCUUAAUAAAUGGUCCCCCUACUAUCUCUCUUCAAAGCACCCAAUUUGAGUGUGCCAUCUGUUUCUUGCCAGG
rnacentral:lncRNA from 1 species